GACGAACGCUGGCGGCGUGCUUAACACAUGCAAGUCGAACGGAAAGGCCCUGCUUUUGUGGGGUGCUCGAGUGGCGAGCGGGUGAGUGACACGUGAGUAACCUGCCCUUGACUUUGGGAUAACUUCAGGAAACUGGGGCUAAUACCGGAUAGGAGCUCCUGCUGCAUGGUGGGGGUUGGAAAGUUUCGGCGGUUGGGGAUGGACUCGCGGCUUAUCAGCUUGUUGGUGGGGUAGUGGCUUACCAAGGCUUUGACGGGUAGCCGGCCUGAGAGGGUGACCGGCCACAUUGGGACUGAGAUACGGCCCAGACUCCUACGGGAGGCAGCAGUGGGGAAUAUUGCACAAUGGGCGGAAGCCUGAUGCAGCAACGCCGCGUGCGGGAUGACGGCCUUCGGGUUGUAAACCGCUUUCGCCUGUGACGAAGCGUGAGUGACGGUAAUGGGUAAAGAAGCACCGGCUAACUACGUG
rnacentral:rRNA from 1 species